CCUACGGGAGGCAGCAGUGGGGAAUAUUGGGCAAUGGGCGCAAGCCUGACCCAGCAACGCCGCGUGAAGGAAGAAGGCUUUCGGGUUGUAAACUUCUUUUCUCAGGGACGAAGCAAGUGACGGUACCUGAGGAAUAAGCCACGGCUAACUACGUGCCAGCAGCCGCGGUAAUACGUAGGUGGCAAGCGUUAUCCGGAUUUACUGGGGGUAAAGGGCGUGUAGGCGGGAAAGCAAGUCAGAUGUGAAAACCAUGGGCUCAACCUGUGGCCUGCAUUUGAAACUGUUUUUCUUGAGUACUGGAGAGGCAGACGGAAUUCCUAGUGUAGCGGUGAAAUGCGUAGAUAUUAGGAGGAACACCAGUGGCGAAGGCGGUCUGCUGGACAGUAACUGACGCUGAGGCGCGAAAGCGUGGGGAGCAAACAGGAUUAGAUACCCCUGUAGUC
rnacentral:rRNA from 1 species